CGGGCGGUGACGUCACAACGGAGCGCCGCGGCUGGCCGUGCUUCGGUAGGCAACGGGUCGGUGCUACCUGCCGCUGCUCGGCGUGUGCGUUGCACCGCGCGCGCCUCGCUGCUUCUUGUCUCCGUGUGGGUCCUGAUGAGCGGCAGGUGGUGAGGGACGCCGGGUAGGCGCGAUGAGUCUGUUCAACCUGGACCGCUUCCGCUAUGAGAAGAGGAGGACGAGCGCGGAGCAGGAUGGGCGGCCUGCUGCUGCAGCCCAGGCCCAGGAGGAGGGCAGCCCUGCUGCUGGAGCCCGGGCUCAGGAGGAGGGCAGCCCUGCUGCUGAUGGUGGUGGGAACAACACUGCAGGGAGCAGCAGGCCAGGCAGCCCAGCCUCGGUGGCAGCAGCCUGGUGUACUGAAAUGGCGAGGUUAUUCCAGUUGUGGAAGUGGAGCAGAACUGUGGUAAAACUACAUGAUUAGAAGAGUUACAAUCAAGAAUUUCAAAAUAAGGUUUCCUUGGAGUAGGAAAUGAAUAUGAACAUGUUUUGUUUUUUUCUACUCAUCUG
ensembl:lncRNA